rnacentral:lncRNA from 1 species
GUGCAAGCUUCAAGUUCAUUAUCAACAAAGCAUAUGUUUAAAAAAUGAGGAUAAUUAAUCUCCUAAACAUAAAUUAGGGAAAUUAGACAGUAACAUAAAGCAUAAAGCAUAGCCUAAAAAUCAAUUCGAAAUCAAAAGUAAAAAAGAAAAAAAAAACGCUAACCUUGGAGACCGGGAGAGGGAGAGGAGGCGGAGACCGGGAGAGGGAGAGGGAGGAGGCGGAGACCCAGAGAGGGAUCGAAGAGGAGGCGGAGACCCAGAGAGGGAUCGGAAAGGAGGCGGAGACCGAGAGAGGGAGAGAGAGGAGGUGGAGACCGGGAGAGGGAGAGGAGGCGGAGGAGGCAGACCGGGAGAAGGAGAGGAGGCGGAAGAGGAGGCUAGGGUUUUUCUGUUGUCGAGCGCUGGGUGUUCGUCUCUAUACCCGACAACUUUAGCCGACGAAAUUAUUAUUUCAUCGGCUAAGAUCAAAUUCGUCGGCUAAACCUUUUAAAUUCGUCGGCUAAACCUUUGAAAUUCGUCGGCUAUAGUACUUUUUAUACAUUCGGAAAAUUGUGAUUAUGAUGAUCAAACUUGAGAAACUAAAAUCCGACCGUCAGAUCUGACCAUCAUGAUAAAAUACAUGUAUGGGAAAAAAUUCAACUUGAUCCGACAAGGUUAAGGGCUCGAUCCGGACGGUCAAUCCUUUAAGUCAAACCCCUAAAAGCACGGAAAAGGUCGUUGGACUGUCUAAAUUUCGUAUUUUGGCCGGACCUUCAACUAAAAAUAGUUUGAAAUCGAUAAAACGCAACAAGUCGUAUAAAAAUUUUACGCAAAAUAACCACCGAAGAUAGGGCUACUCAUAAGGAGAAAGAAUGAAAAAUUGCAUUAACCGCAACUAUCAGCACCGAAACUUUACCGGAAUACUGUGAUUUUUCAACCGUGGAUGUAUUUCACCAUUCUGGUCAUAUCUUAUUUCACAACUUCUUUGCGUUUGAAGGUUUUACGUAUAGUUUGUUUUUGAAACCGAACAUUUACUUGACACUUAGUAAACAAGUUAUACAACAUUAGUAGGCAUGUUGUGAUUGUGAUGAUCAAACUUGAGAAACAGAAAUCUGACCGUCAGAUCUGACCAUCAUGACAAAAUACAUGUAUGGGCAAAAAUUCAACUUGAUCCGACAAGGUUAAGGGCUCGAUCCAGACGGUCAAUCUCGUAAGCCAAACCCCUAAAUGCACGGAAAAGGUAAUUGGACCGUCUAAAUUUCGUAUUUUGCCCGGACCUUCAACUGAAAAUAGUUUCAAANNNNN